rnacentral:lncRNA from 1 species
GAAGGCUAUGGCUAUCGAACUGUACAGUUUAUUCCGGCUAGCAGGUCCGGCGAUCAUAGUUUACUUGCUGAACAACGUGACGUCGAUGUCCACCCAAAUCUUCUGCGGCCACCUUGGUAACCUUCAGCUGGCGGCGGCGUCCCUCGGCAACAAUGGCGUCCAACUUUUUGCCUAUGGUGUUAUGGUAACAAUUGCUUUUAGUAAUUAAUAUUCCUUUUAAAAUUUAUUGUGGCCACAAAUAUCCGAAAAGGAACACCCGAUUUUGAAAAUUUUAAGAAUCUCAUUCUAUAUAUUUUUUCAUAAUAAUGAGAAUGGGUUUUCAUAAUAAUACUUAUUUGUUUUUUCAAUAAUAUUUUUUUUGUAAAAAAAUAAUCAUUCGUUUUUAAAAAAAAAAAAAAAAAAAAAAAGUUUUGUUUGUACUUCGUAUCCAACAUGGUCUCAAAGACUAAAAACUGCCUGCAAAAACAAAAAUAAAAAUCCAGGGAUAGAUCGGUCCGGACCAUGUGUUCUGAAUCUAAUGUACAACUUGAAACCGGGUUCAAACAAAAAAAAUCAAUGUUCUACAUAUUUGUCUUUUUGGGAUUUAAAAAGGAAAAGUUAAUAGUUUUUUUUUUGUUUUUUCAGAAAAGAACAUUAAAAGUGUUAUUUUAUUACAAAUAAUUAAAUUAAAUUAUUGUUAGUGUUUUUAAAUAUUGGAUGAUUUUAAGUUAUUUAAUUAUAUUUUCAUACUUUUCUUCAUUUUAUAUUUUCCUAAGAAGGGGAAGAAAUUGGUAUACAAGUUUAUGGAAAAUUUAGGACCUUUAGGUGAUGGAAAAGUAAACAUGUCAAUAACAAUGAUGCCCUUGGAAGGUUAUAAACUAUCUAUAGUUCUUAGAUGUAAUAUGAUCUAUAGCAAAACAAUUUAGAAUUCUCUUUCAACAUCUGCAUAUUUUAUGUUCUUAUUUUCAAGUGUUAUAUCUUAUAACAUGAAUUCAUAAAUGCUUUUCAAUAUAUGUAAAUAUUCUUAAAACAACUAAAACAAUAAUAGAUUUUUUUGAAACCAUAAUAAUAGUUUAUAAAAUAAUGUUUUAAAAACCGGUCAAACUAGGAACUGGGAACGAGAGCGAUUCAAUAACGACUGAUUUUUAGUUAAUUUUUAGAUAAGAUUGAACUGGACAGUUUUUUAAAAACCGGGAUAAAUCGGUGUGACAGAAUCAGUAAAAAAUCGUUUGAACUGAUUUAUUUGACUUGUAUAGUUUGACUUCACUUAGACCGUUAAAAAAACCUAUUUCCAAAGCAAAAUAAACAAAUUUCAGAGUGUAUAUAGUUUGAAGACUGACGGAUGUCACCGUCAGAUGCUGGAAGCCGGUCACCAAACUGAUUCAACUAAAAAAUUGAUUUUUAAAAGAUUGUUAUAAACCGACUUCUUGAUAUGGAAACGGAGAUAUAGCUUAUUGAUAAAAUUAACUUUUCUAUAUCUUAUGAAAUACAAAGUAUAUCUAACAAAAGUUAGUUGAUGUCUUCUUCUUGUUUUCAUGGACAUUAACUUCAACGUGCUUAAAUUAUAACAUUGUUUCUUUAUUUUCUUAGUACGAGAUUACAUUUUAUAAAAUCUAUCCAAUUAUAGCCUAAAAAAAUACCUAUAUUUAUCAUAUUGGUAUAAGUAUAAUCAGAUACAUUUAAAAAUAAUAUAAUAUAAUAUAAUAAACAAAUAAAAGUAUAAUAAUACUAAAAGCAUAUUGCUAAAGCAAACAACACUAUAUUUUUUCAAAAAUUCUGUUUAAUUAUCAAUUUUUAAUAAGUUAAAAAAAACCAUCAAUUUUUGAUAAAAUAUUUAAGUAUGGUCACUCUUACAUAUUAGAAUUAGUUUUAAUUACAAAAAAGCAUUAUAUUGUUUCAAAAAAUUUGGUUUGGUGACGGUUUUAUUUAUUAUUAUUAUUUUUUUUAACAUAAAUGCAGAUCAUAGUGGUUGUCGUAGAGGUUUUUCUAAAAAAACAAAUACUUUUUUAAUGCAAAUAGAAAGUGUUUUUUUUAGCACAAAUAAAAAUUUAACGGUUUAACUAGAAAAAAUGAUAAAAUAUAAUGGUCUUUUGGUCAUUAUUAAGGAAUAUAUUUAAUUUCUUUUUGUAUUUAUUUUGUGUAGCUUGGAAUGGGAAGUGCAGUGGAGACACUCUGCGGACAAGCAUACGGAGCCCAACAAUUCGAAAUGCUCGGCAUUUACCUCCAAAGAUCCACCAUCCUUUUAAUGGCGACAGCCAUUCCCC